rnacentral:rRNA from 1 species
UACGUAGGGGGCAAGCGUUGUCCGGAAUCAUUGGGCGUAAAGAGCGCGCAGGCGGUCGUCCAAGUCGCGUGUGAAAGCCCCCGGCUCAACUGGGGAGGGUCACGCGAUACUGGUCGACUCGAAGGCAGGAGAGGGUAGUGGAAUUCCCGGUGUAGUGGUGAAAUGCGUAGAUAUCGGGAGGAACACCAGUGGCGAAGGCGACUACCUGGCCUGUUCUUGACGCUGAGGCGCGAAAGCUAGGGGAGCAAACGGG